rnacentral:rRNA from 1 species
GACGAACGCUGGCGGCGUGCUUAACACAUGCAAGUCGAGCGGUAAGGCUCCUUCGGGAGUACACGAGCGGCGAACGGGUGAGUAACACGUGAGCAAUCUGCCCUUCACAUCGGGAUAACUCCGGGAAACCGAAGCUAAUACCGAAUACGACCACUUCAGGCAUCUGAUGGUGGUGGAAAGUUCCGGCGGUGAAGGAUGAGCUCGCGGCCUAUCAGCUUGUUGGUGGGGUAAUGGCCCACCAAGGCUUCGACGGGUAGCCGGCCUGAGAGGGUGACCGGCCACACUGGGACUGAGACACGGCCCAGACUCCUACGGGAGGCAG